rnacentral:lncRNA from 1 species
CACAAGCUCACUUGCACUUGGCUCCUGAACCCCUUCACGCCACAGGAGGACAUCUGAGCGAUUCCCAUCACUCCCCUGUGAACCCGUCGGAGCCUCGGCCUCUCAGAUUCUUGCGCACACAGUCUCUCAGGCUCACUCACUCUCUGUGGCCUGCCUCAGAUCGUCUGCCACGGCCCCCCGUGUGACCCCACUCCUGGCCUUCAGCCUGCUGGUUCUCUGGACCUUCCCAGCCCCAACUCUGGGGGGUGCUAAUGAUGCGGAAGACUGCUGCCUGUCUGUGACCCAGCGCCCCAUCCCUGGGAACAUCGUGAAAGCCUUCCGCUACCUUCUUAAUGAAGAUGGCUGCAGGGUGCCUGCUGUUGUGUUUACCACACUAAGGGGCUAUCAGCUCUCUGCACCUCCAGACCAGCCCUGGGUGGAUCGCAUCAUCCGAAGACUGAAGAAGUCUUCUGCCAAGGCAAGCCUGACCCUCCUCAGUCCUGCCUCCACCCUC